UACGGAGGGUGCGAGCGUUGUCCGGAAUUACUGGGCGUAAAGCGUGCGCAGGCGGCUUUGCGAGACAGAUGUGAAAUCCCCGGGCUUAACCUGGGAACUGCAUUUGUGACUGCAUGGCUGGAGUGCGGCAGAGGGGGAUGGAAUUCCGCGUGUAGCAGUGAAAUGCGUAGAUAUGCGGAGGAACACCGAUGGCGAAGGCAAUCCCCUGGGCCUGCACUGACGCUCAUGCACGAAAGCGUGGGGAGCAAACAGG
rnacentral:rRNA from 1 species